UUGACGGGGCCCGCACAAGCAGCGGAGCGUGUGGUUUAAUUCGGUGCAACACGAAGAACCUUACCUGGGUUUGACAUGCUAGUGGUAGUGAAGCGAAAGCGGAACGACCCUUCGGGGAGCUAGCACAGGUGCUGCAUGGCUGUCGUCAGCUCGUGCCGUGAGGUGUUGGGUUAAGUCCCGCAACGAGCGCAACCCUCGUCGCUAGUUAAAACUCUCUAGCGAGACCGCCGGGAUACACCCGGAGGAAGGUGGGGAUGACGUCAAGUCAGCAUGGCCUUUAUAUCCAGGGCGACACACACGCUACAAUGGCCGGUACAGAGGGUAGCCAAGCCGUGAGGCGGAGCCAAUCUCACAAAGCCGGUCUCAGUUCAGAUUGUAGGCUGCAACCCGCCUGCAUGAAGAUGGAGUUGCUAGUAACCGCAGGUCAGCUAUACUGCGGUGAAUACGUUCCCGGGGCUU
rnacentral:rRNA from 1 species